rnacentral:rRNA from 1 species
GACGAACGCUGGCGGCGUGCUUAACACAUGCAAGUCGAACGGAAAGGCCCUGCUUGCCGGGUACUCGAGUGGCGAACGGGUGAGUAACACGUGGGUGAUCUGCCCUGCACUUCGGGAUAAGCCUGGGAAACUGGGUCUAAUACCGGAUAGGAGCCAUUUUUAGUGUGAUGGUUGGAAAGUUUUUUCGGUGUAGGAUGAGCUCGCGGCCUAUCAGCUUGUUGGUGGGGUAAUGGCCUACCAAGGCGGCGACGGGUAGCCGGCCUGAGAGGGUGGACGGCCACAUUGGGACUGAGAUACGGCCCAGACUCCUACGGGAGGCAGCAGUGGGGAAUAUUGCACAAUGGGCGCAAGCCUGAUGCAGCGACGCCGCGUGGGGGAUGACGGCCUUAGGGUUGUAAACUCCUUUCGCUAGGGACGAAGCUUUUUGUGACGGUACCUAGAGAAGAAGCACCGGCUAACUACGUG